rnacentral:rRNA from 1 species
UACGUAGGGUGCGAGCGUUAAUCGGAAUUACUGGGCGUAAAGCGUGCGCAGGCGGUUUUGUAAGCCAGAUGUGAAAUCCCCGGGCUUAACCUGGGAAUGGCAUUUGGGACUGCAAGGCUGGAGUGUGGCAGAGGAGACUGGAAUUCCUGGUGUAGCAGUGAAAUGCGUAGAUAUCAGGAGGAAUACCGAUGGCAAAGGCAGGUCUCUGGGCUGACACUGACGCUCAUGCACGAAAGCGUGGGGAGCAAACAGG